rnacentral:rRNA from 1 species
CGACCGGCGCACGGGUGAGUAACACGUAUGCAACCUGGCCGUCACAGGUGGAUAACCGGAAGAAAUUCCGACUAAUACAGCAUAACACUCCUGAGGGACAUCCUUCGGGAGUCAAAGGAGGCAACUCCGGUGACGGAUGGGCAUGCGGCGCAUUAGGUAGUUGGUAGGGUAACGGCCUACCAAGCCGACGAUGCGUAGGGGUUCUGAGAGGAAGGUCCCCCACAUUGGAACUGAGACACGGUCCAAACUCCUACGGGAGGCAGCAG